CUGGCCACAGGGAGCUCAUUGCCUCAGCUCUGCCUCUCCUUCUCCCCAGCCUGGCUUUCUCCGGACCCCCUGUUUCUGGAACAGAGGAGGGUCAGAGAAGCAAAGACCGAAGAGGACGGCCCUGCCAACACCGAGCAGAAGCUGAAGUCCUUUCCAGAGGACCCUCAGCACCUGGGGGAGUGGGGCCACCUGGACCCUGCCGAGGAGAACCUGAAGAGCUACCGGAAGCUGCUCCUGUGGGGUGAGAGUCGCCUGCCUCGGGGUCACGCCCCACUCCCCAUCCCCUUCCGCAGGGGUUGGUGCAGGAGACUGUGACCCCAGGGACUUUGGCUGGGACACUGUGAUGUCUUACAGGAUUUGAACUUGCACGUGUUGGAGCUUGAAUUUAUUCGCUGAAGCCCCCACCCUUUCUGAUCUAAACAUCUGAGUUCUGCCCAGGCCCUGCCUGUAGGACUGAAGCCUCGGAAUUUGGAAAGGCCUCCUGGCCCCAAGGCGCCCACAUUGCCACCCUCCUUGCCAGAUACAGGGCCUCACCUGCAUGGCCUGAUCAAGGGUCUCCUCUUUUGU
rnacentral:lncRNA from 1 species